UACGUAGGGCGCAAGCGUUGUCCGGAAUUAUUGGGCGUAAAGAGCUCGUAGGCGGUCUGUCGCGUCCGUUGUGAAAACUCGAGGCUCAACCUCGGGCUUGCAGUGGAUACGGGCAGACUAGAGUGCGGUAGGGGAGACUGGAAUUCCUGGUGUAGCGGUGGAAUGCGCAGAUAUCAGGAGGAACACCGAUGGCGAAGGCAGGUCUCUGGGCCGCAACUGACGCUGAGGAGCGAAAGCAUGGGAGC
rnacentral:rRNA from 1 species